rnacentral:pre_miRNA from 1 species
CUAAUACUCCCUCCGUCCCAAAAAAUUUGUCUUAGAUUUGUCCAAAUACGGAUGUAUCAAGUCAUGUUUUAGUAUUAGAUACAUCCGUAUCUAGACAAAUUUAAGACAAGAAUUUUGGGACGGAGGGAGUACAUU